UACGGGUGUGCACUGUCGUGUCCGGUCCACGUCUGGUUUCAAUCUAUAGUGCUCUUAACCGGGUGCUAUAGAAUGCCAGAAAGUUUACUCUGAAAAAAUUAGAGUGCUUAAAGCAAGCCGUUGUGCUUGAAUACUGUUGCAUGGAAUAAUGGAAUAGGACCUCGGAUCUAUUUUGUUGGUUUUCGGAGUCGAGGUAAUGAUUAAGAGGGACAGACGGGGGCAUUCGUAUUGCGCCGUUAGAGGUGAAAUUCUUGGAUCGGCGCAAGACGAACAACUGCGAAAGCAUUUGCCAAGGAUGUUUUCAUUAAUCAAGAACGAAAGUCAGAGGUUCGAAGACGAUCAGAUACCGUCGUAGUUCUGACCAUAAACGAUGCCAACUGGCGAUCCGCCGUAGUCUGGCUUAAAGGACUCGGCGGGCAGCCUCCGGGAAACCUAAGUCUAUGGGUUCCGGGGGAAGUAUGGUUGCAAAGCUGAAACUUAAAGGAAUUGACGGAAGGGCACCACCAGGAGUGGAGCCUGCGGCUUAAUUUGACUCAACACGGGAAAACUCACCCGGCCAGGACACCGCAAGGAUUGACAGACUGAGAGCUCUUUCUUGAUUCGGUGGGUGGUGGUGCAUGGCCGUUCUUAGUUGGUGGAGCGAUUUGUCUGGUUAAUUCCGAUAACGAACGAGACUCUAGCCUGCUAAAUAGACGGGCGAUCCCAUUGUGGGUCGACCCGAUCAGCUUCUUAGAGGGACAAGUGG
rnacentral:rRNA from 1 species